rnacentral:rRNA from 1 species
GAAUAUUGCGCAAUGGGGGAAACCCUGACGCAGCGACGCCGCGUGAACGAUGAAGGCAUUUGGGUCGAAAAGUUCUGUCCACAGGGAAGAAUAAAUGACGGUAUCUGCGGAGGAAGCCCAGGCUAACUACGUUACAGUAGCCGCGGUAAUACGUAGGGGGCAAGCGUUGUCCGGAAUUAUUGGGCGUAAAGGGUGCUUAGGCGGCCUUUUAAGUCAGAUGUUAAAGACCUCAGCUUAACUGUGGGAUUGCAUUUGAAACUGAAGGGCUUGAGUGUCGGAGAGGGUAGUGGAAUUCCCGGAGUAGCGGUGAAAUGCGUAGAUAUCGGGAGGAACACCAGUGGCGAAGGCGACUACCUGGACGACAACUGACGCUGAGGCACGAAAGCUAGGGGAGCAAAC